UUAGUAUUAGUUAUGUUCUUGAAAAUUAAAAAAUUUGGCGGUAUUUUAGUCUAUUCAGAGGAAUCUGUUCUAUAAUUGAUAAUCCACGAUUAAUUAUACUUAUUUUAAAAAUUUAUAUAUCGUCGUAGUUUGAAUAUUUUAGGAGAAUUAAAAUGUUCAAUAAUUUUUAUAAAAAUUUAAAUCAGAUCAAGGUGUAGUUUAUAAAUAAGAAGAAAUGGAUUACAAUAAAUUUAUUUUUGGAUUUAGUAAUGAAAUUUAUUAAUAAAAUUGGAUUUGAAAGUAAUUUUGUUAAUUUUUUCAAAAUGAUUUUAGCUCUAAAAUAUGU
rnacentral:rRNA from 1 species